rnacentral:rRNA from 1 species
UACGGGGGGGGCAAGCGUUGUUCGGAAUUACUGGGCGUAAAGGGCUCGUAGGCGGCCAACUAAGUCAGACGUGAAAUCCCUCGGCUCAACCGGGGAACUGCGUCUGAUACUGGAUGGCUUGAAUCCGGGAGAGGGAUGCGGAAUUCCAGGUGUAGCGGUGAAAUGCGUAGAUAUCUGGAGGAACACCGGUGGCGAAGGCGGCAUUCUGGACCAUAACUGACACUGAGAGACGAAAGCCAGGGGAGCAAACGGG